AGACACAGAGAGAUAAAAGCCAUCAUUCGCCAAGUCCCACUUUUGCUAUUUCAUUCACUUCAUUAUUAAAAUAAUACAUUCACUUAUUUAUUAAAAUAAUACACCUUUGCAAGUAUUUUUAAAAAUUCAGGUAGAACAAUUCAGAAAACUUCUUACUAUGGUUCUUACCCAGUCUGUGUAACCAGAGUUAUAAGUAUUCUAUCAUACUAUUUACUUUUUUCUUCUAAUUACCUCUUAAAAACUUACUGCUUCAUAUUGAUCAUUGUUUUUGUAUUAGCAGACCAAGUUAUUUUAUUCUUUUGAUUGCUGUAGAGAGGUCUAUGGCACUGAAUUAAUAAUACCAUGUGAUAAAUAUUUAUGUUGUUAUUACAAAAAUGCUGCAGUAGCCAACUUUACAUGUGUCUCUUUGGACAUGCUUUCAUUCAGUCAGUUACUUUCUCAUUUAGUAAGUACUUAGAUACUCCCUACCAUGAAUCAAGAACUGUUUUAGGAGCUGGAGAAAUAUCAGGUAAUCUAAUCAAUCUCAAUGUUUGAUCUGCUGUGACUUAUAUACUAAGUAGGUUUCAAUUAGUUUGUAGGAUAUGUGAUUCUGAGAUUCUGAUCAGUUCAAAGGAAGGGAAAGUAGAGGGGAAGCAAGCCUACCGGGAGAGGGCAUGUUCGUUUUGGGUUUUGUGUUUAGGAGUGCCCACAGAACAUGCUGUUUGGGAACAGAGAUGCGAAUGAAGUGGACAUGCAGACUAAAGGAAGCAUCUUGUAGGAGAGAAUGAAAUUAGAGGAAUCUAAAACUCAAGUGUUUAACCAAAUAA